GAAAGCGAUGCUAAUACCGAAUGAUAUCUCAAAAACUUCGGUUUUUGAGAUCAAAGGUGGCCGCUCCAUGGAAGCUACUGUUAGGAGAUGAGCCCGCGUACCAUUAGCUUGUUGGUAGGGUAAUAGCCUACCAAGGCAACGAUGGUUAGCUGGUCUGAGAGGAUGAUCAGCCACACUGGAACUGACACACGGUCCAGACUCCUACGGGAGGCAGCAGUGAGGAAUUCUGCGCAAUGGGGGAAACCCUGACGCAGCAACGCCGCGUGAGUGAUGAAGGCCUUCGGGUCGUAAAGCUCUGUCAAGUGGGAAGAACCUGCCCUGUGCUAAUAUCACCGGGCACUGACGGUACCACUGAAGGAAGCACCGGCUAACUCCGUGCCAGCAGCCGCGGUAACACGGGGGGGUGCAAGCGUUAUUCGGAAUCACUGGGCGUAAAGAGCGCGUAGGCGGUCUCUUAAGUCAGAUGUGAAAGCCCGGGGGCUCAACCCC
rnacentral:rRNA from 1 species